rnacentral:rRNA from 1 species
GUGAGGAAUAUUGCGCAAUGGAGGCAACUCUGACGCAGCCAUGCCGCGUGCAGGAAGAAGGCGCUACGCGUUGUAAACUGCUUUUAACCGGGAAGAAACCCCAGGACGUGUCCUGGGUUGACGGUACCGGAGGAAUAAGCACCGGCUAACUUCGUGCCAGCAGCCGCGGUAAUACGAAGGGUGCAAGCGUUAUCCGGAUUCAUUGGGUUUAAAGGGUGCGUAGGCGGAGCGUUAAGUCAGUGGUGAAAUCCUGCAGCUUAACUGUAGACUUGCCAUUGAUACUGGCGCUCUUGAGUGCGCUUGAAGUGGGCGGAAUGUGCCGUGUAGCGGUGAAAUGCUUAGAUAUGGUACAGAACACCAAUUGCGAAGGCAGCUCACUAAGGCGAUACUGACGCUGAGGCACGAAAGCGUGGGGAUCGAACAGGAUUAGAAACCCGGGUAGUCC